rnacentral:misc_RNA from 1 species
GAAUUAAUAAAAAUAUAAAAUGUCGAGUGGAAAGAAGUUCCGCCGUCCGCCGCCUCUUCCUCUGACUCUACCGCCAAAUGAGGAGGAAUGGCGGAAUAAUCCUGUUCCCCUUCAGCCUGGAGACCUGAUGGGUCCUCCUCAGAUACCUCCGCUCUCCCAGCACAAUCUAAUGAUGAGUGAAGCUAUGAUGGUUCCGUGUAUCAAUGAUCUGGUAAUAUCUGAUGUUGACGAAGAGCAGAGAAAAAGGCUGGAGUUCUUCUUCAACCAGAAGAAGCAGCUGGGAGAACUCAAAUCGGAAGAGGACUUUGAGAAGAUAUCAGAGUUAGGUGCUGGAAACGGGGGAGUUGUGCAUUGUGUCCGACACAAACAAACAGGAACUGUUAUAGCAAAGAAAAUGAUUCAUCUUGAGGUAAAACCUGCGAUAAAAAAACAAAUCAUUACCGAACUGAGAAUCCUUCACGAAUGCAACUCACCUUAUAUAGUAGGUUUCUAUGGAGCAUUUCAUUCUGACGGAGAGAUUAAUAUCUGUAUGGAGUAUAUGGAUGGAGGGUCCCUGGACCUGGUUAUAAAGAAGACUGGCAGAAUCCCGGAGAAAUAUUUGAGAAAGAUUACAUUUGCAGUUCUUAGAGGUCUGCAGUACCUUAGAGAGAAACAUCAGAUCAUUCACAGAGAUGUGAAACCAUCGAAUAUUUUGGUGAACUCUGCUGGUGAAAUCAAAAUUUGUGAUUUCGGUGUUUCCGGUCAGCUUAUUGAUUCUAUGGCCAACUCCUUUGUUGGGACACGCAGCUAUAUGUCCCCAGAGCGGUUACAGGGGUCACAGUACAGUGUUGCAAGUGAUCUUUGGUCUCUUGGGCUCUCUCUUCUAGAAAUGGCAUUGGGUUGUUAUCCUAUUCCUCCCCCUGACCCAAACUAUCUAGCAAACAUAUUUGGACCAGUAUUCAUGGAAGAUCCAGCUAACAUGAUGCCAGUUCCAUCUCCUAGAACACCUAGAACUCCACAUACAGGCAGUAAACCCAUGGCUAUAUUUGAGCUGUUAGAGUAUAUAGUAAACCAGCCACCUCCUAGGCUACCCUCUAGAGUCUUCUCAUGUGAAAUGAGGGAUUUUGUAGAUAUCUGCUUAAAGAAGAACCCCGGUGAGAGACCAGACCUGGCAACUUUGAUGUCCCAUCCCUGGUUAAGAGGACUAGAACAGGAUGAUACGGAUGUGGCGGGCUGGGUUCAAGAAAUUAUCAGACUACCCCUUCCUGAACCUCUUCAAAUAUAAUUCUUAUACAGUAUUCAAUGAAUAUUGUUCAUUCCUCAUUCCUUAGUACACAGUAACCUUGUUCAUCCCCUAUUCCUUAGUACAUAAGCUUACCAAGCGUCCUCAUUCAUCCCUUAUUCAUUAGUACGUUAGCUUAUCCAGCAAAAUUUUUAUUCUUAUCCAGUAACUUUAUUCAUCCUUCAUUCCUUAGUACAUCAGCAUAUCCAGUAAAUUUAUUCAUCCUUCAUUCCUUAGUACAUCAGCUUAUCCAGUAAUUUUAUUCAUCCCUCAUUCCUUAGUACAUUAGCAUAUCCAGUAAUCUUAUUCUCCCCUUAUUCCUUAUCCCUAAUGCUCAUGACAUCAAUAUUCCACAUUUCACAAUCAUGUUAUAAAUGUAUUUUAAGAAUUGCAUUUUUAGUUCAUAGAAUCAGUAGCCAAAUAAUUACUUUUCUUAAUCUAGAUUGGUAUGUUUGUUAUUUUUAUCAUUCAUAUACUGAGAUUAGAAAUGUAUUGUGUUACGGUUUACCCUGUGUUAAGCUUUUAUUAGCCGAUUUUUCAUAAUUUAAAAUCUUUUUAUGUCAAUUUUUAUUUUUCUCCUUGUAUUGUUCAUGCACCGUCUUAUUAUGUUCUUGUACUGUUGAUAAACUGUUCAGUGUUCCUUUACUAAUCUUGUACUAUUCUUGUACUAUGCAUGAAUGCUUCAUGUACUGCUGAGUAGCCGUACAAGUCCUUAUUAUCAGUGAUUUUAUAAAAAAUAUCCUAUUUAUUUAAAAUAUUAUGUACUACUGUAAGUUUAAAAAUUUUAAUAUUUUAAAGGGUUUAUGCAUUUUUCAAAUGAAGGAAAGAUAAAAGGAAGGAGAACAGUUAAAAAUUUGUAUCCGAUAAUGUACAUUUGAUGGAAAGGACUGUAAAUUCCGAAAAUGUACAUUUGAUGGAAAGGACUGUAAAGUCCGAUAAUGUACAUUUGAUGGAA